rnacentral:miRNA from 1 species
AGCUGCUGACUCGUUGGCUC